rnacentral:rRNA from 1 species
GGAACUGAAACAUCUAAGUACCUGAAGGAAGAGAAAGAAAUUCGAUUCCGUAAGUAGCGGCGAGCGAACGCGGAUUAGCCCAAACCAAUAAAGUUUUCUUUAUUGGGGUUGCGGACAUAUCAUAACGAAGAGGUAUCGUAAUUGAAGAGGUUUGGAAAGACCCACCACAGAAGGUAAUAGUCCUGUAUGUUAAACGAGAAGACUUUAGAUAUGAUCCAGAGUACCACGGGACACGUGAAACCCUGUGGGAAGCAGGAGGGACCACCCUCCAAGGCUAAAUACUACCUAGUGACCGAUAGCGUAUAGUACCGUGAGGGAAAGGUGAAAAGAACCCCGUGAGGGGAGUGAAAUAGAACCUGAAACCCUGCACUUACAAGCUGUGGAAGCACAUUUCUUGUGUGACCGCGUACUUUUUGUAGAACGGGCCAACGAGUUACGUUAAGUAGCAAGGUUAAGCACUUAAGGUGUGGAGCCGUAGCGAAAGCGAGUUUUAACUGAGCGUUCAGUUACUUGACGUAGACCCGAAACCGGGCGACCUACCCAUGAGCAGGAUGAAGCGAAAGUAAAAUUUCGUGGAGGUCCGAACCCACGAGCGUUGAAAAGCUCGGGGAUGACUUGUGGGUAGCGGUGAAAUUCCAAUCGAGCCCGGAGAUAGCUGGUUCUCCCCGAAAUAGCUUUAGGGCUAGCCUCAAGUUGAGAGAUACGGAGGUAGAGCACUGAAUGUCCUAGGGGGUAUUGCACCUACCGAAGACUAUCAAACUCCGAAUGCCGUCAUCUUAUACUUGGGAGUCAGACUGUGGGUGAUAAGAUUCAUAGUCGAAAGGGCAACAGCCCAGAUCGUCAGCUAAGGUCCCUAAAUGUAAGUUAAGUGGUAAAGGAUGUGGGAUUGCACAGACAACCAGGAUGUUGGCUUAGAAGCAGCCACUCAUUCAAAGAGUGCGUAAUAGCUCACUGGUCGAGUGAUCCUGCGCCGAAGAUUUCCGGGGCUAAA